AGGAUCAGUAGAAGUCAGCUGUGC
rnacentral:miRNA from 1 species